GCCUUGGUCGGGCGGUCCGGCUUUCCGGUCGGUACUGUUUGGCCGGGGCUCAUCUUCUGGUGAGACGGCAUGCUCUUCACUGGGUGUGUCGAGAAAUCAGGACUUUUACUUUGAAAAAAUUAGAGUGUUUAAAGCAGGCUUUAGCUUGAAUACAUUAGCAUGGAAUAAUGGAAUAGGACCCUGGUUCUAUUUUGUUGGUUUCUAGGACCGAGGUA
rnacentral:rRNA from 1 species